UAUAUAAAAAGUAGAACUGCAAAAAAAUAAAUUUUCCAAAAUACAUAAACAAAAAUAAAAAUUUUUAUUUCUUAGAGCAAGAUAGCAUCUUGUUGUGAAUUUGUUUCUAUCAAUUCAUCAAUUUCAUCUGGAAUAUCGAAAAUACAAUUCAAAAAUCUCGCAAAACAGAGAGAAACGAAAUAAACGAAAAAGACAAAAACGCAAAUUAAAUUCGACAUACGCACAAUGAAAUGAACGACAAACUUGUUUGAAAACCAACAGUGUCAAUUACACGCGAUCGAUGUUUCUACUCUUCCGUACAAAUAAGGCUAAACGACGUUAUUGUCGCAAACAGAAGCGAGAGACGGUUGUUGAACACAGAGAGAAGCGGCGCGUUGCGUCGAGGGCAAACAAAGAGAAAACGGGAGCCGAGAGUACCGCGCACGCUGCCAGGCAUUCGAAUCUCCCGCUCCACGCGCGCACACAAAGCGGCCGACACUCGAGGCUCGGGGCGUUACGCUCGUUUUGGUUCGUUCCGCGCCAAUGGGGAACGACGCCCGUGACAAAGCGCCGCGAUAAAAGGCACUUUGAUGGAACGGUUUGAUUGCCGGACCGAUCAAUUACCGUUCUCUUUUUUUUUUAUUUUUUCUAUUUUUUUUUCCUCUUUUUUCCGCAUUUUUUCCUUUUUUUCAGAUGGAACGAUAUGAGAAAAGAAAUCGAUAAUCUUAUAAUCGUUGACAAGAUCGAUAAUACGAUCGUUUGGUAAUGAAGACAAUAUGAGAGAAUAGAAUGGAUAAAAUUUUUACGAUUUAAGCCAAAAAAAACGUUAUCACUUUGUCAUUCCACCAUCAUCUCGUAUCAACGUCCGAAUACGAUAACCUCUGAAACUAUCCUGCUAAUACCAGAUACCACUUCACUUCAAAUUGGAUCCAACACCGCAAAACGCAGAGAUCUAUAACAGAAAUCCUAACAACCGUUAGGCGAGAAUCAUGGAAUUAUGUUAAUUUUCCACGGCAUGUCUCGCGACUGAUAUUCAUGAGCCCGGCGUGGCCCGUUACAACAUAGAGGAGAAGCAAAUUAGAAGGAGGAGGAUUAGAAGGCCGUCGUCCAGGCGAAGAUCCAGUGGAAGCAUCCAGUCGGGUACGAAUAUCUGGUGGUCUAUUCAAGGGUGCAUAACAUACAAGGCGGCGAGUGAAUUUGCCCGUUUCGCCGCAACAACGGACGAUGCUCGGCUUGUAAACGAUGCAUGACAAUCGUUGUUGCAUCCGUUAGUCGAAGAGUAUUCGAGUCCUUCCUGUUCUCACCACCCCCCCCCUCCUUCGCGGUUCUAUCUUCUCCUAUUCGAUCAUACGUAUAUAGAGGGUGGAUAGGAUGGGUUGGCUAGAAUGGUUUGGGGCAUCAUAGAGCAAGGAUUCGCGAGGAAGAGAUGGACGGGAGAAAGAGAGAUGGAUAUAGGAGAAGGAGGUGGAGGAGCAGCAGCCGAAUUCCUAGCAUACCGCGGGGCCAACUGGUUAGCAAGCGAUUUACGAUAUUGUAAACCGAUGCGACGGCGGCGGCCGUGCCCACCGCCGAACCUCAAUCUAAUAGUGGCGACUUCGACCUCCAAUGCCAAAGGCACGUCGCCCCCGAACCGGUAACAUUGUUCGCCCCGCUUUUACUUCCGCCAUACAGUACAAACCUGGAUGGACUCACUCGAUGCGACGAGUUUCUCAUUCUUAUGGUGAAUGGUUUGGAAGAUGAUAUCUGGGAGAAAGUGUUUGUAUUUCUGAUAAAUGAUUUUUUUAGAUUUGUUGCAAUGGAGAAUUUGUUUGACAGAGAUAAAUUUUGAUUGAUAAUAAGAACAGAUAAAUUCGAAGAUAACUUUGAUUUUGGGCUAAUGAGUUUUGAACCUGGGAAAAUUAUGUCUAAGAGAAAAUAUUUUCCAUUUUUAAUAAAUGAUUUUUAAUUUGUUGAAAUGGAGAGUUUGUUUGAUAGAAAUGAAUUUUGGUAAGUAUCAUAGAAGAGA
rnacentral:lncRNA from 1 species